AACCGAACCGUUAGUCACUCGAUCGCGUUUGGUUGCAUCAUAACCAGCUUAAAACCUUUCUCCAUCGCAUCGACUCUGCAGUGCAUUCUGGUCGAUAAAACUUCACCACACGAUCCGAAGAACCAAACAACAUGGCCGGCUAUAACACAGAGUACAACAACACCAACAAUACAACAUUUUCCAGACCAAAUAUGAGUUAUCCAGUUCCCCCAAGUAGUGAUAAUAAUGAAGGAAAAUUGUUUGUUGGUGGAUUAGCCUGGGACACAACUGAAGAGUCUCUACGAAACUAUUUUGAGAAGUUUGGUGAAGUUGAAAGCGUCAAUUUAAAACGAAACAAAGAGGAUUUAAACAAACAUAGAGGCUUUGCAUUUGUAAAAUUUGUUACACAAGAAUCUGCUGAUGAAGUUCUCAACCAGGCUGAACCUCAUAUAUUAGAUGGAUCUAAAAUUGAUCCAAAGUCUGCAUGUCCAAUGGGAGUUAAACCUGAACAACGAACUAAAAAAAUAUUUGUUGGUGGCUUGCAAACAGAAACAACAGAAGAAAAACUUAGAGAAUAUUUCUCACAAUUUGGUGAAAUUAAAAAUAAUAUUGAAUUUGCUGUCGACCACAAUACUAAAAAACGAAGAGGUUUUUGCUUCAUCGAAUUUGCUAAUGAAAGUGUUGUUGACAAAAUUGUUAAAGAUAAAUUCCACGAAAUAGCCGGAAGAAGACUUGAAACAAAACGUGCUCUUAGUAAACAGCAGCAGGAGGAGAUGAAAGAUGCUGGCUUACUUGGCAGUCGUUACAGAGGUGGAAAUCCUGCAAUACCUGGUUAUCCUGGUAUGUCUGUACCUCCAUAUCCAUCACCAUAUGCUCAACCUGUCAUUUACAUUCACCCUGAUAGUCUUUCUACUGCUUAUCCAAGUGCUGCUCUUGGUGGUAUAUCAGGUAUGACUGGAGCUUACCCCCAUCUUCAAGGUGGAUACACGCAAUCACCUAUGGAAUCAUUGUAUACACCCUAUGGAGGACGAGAUGUUAGACAUGUUGGUUAUCCUGUGUGGAGAUUUCAUCCGCCACGCCUUUCCAAAGGGUCCUACUCUUAGCGACCUUUUUUUAUAUCAAUCCUUUCCCCCUUUACACUCUAUAAAAAAUAACGUACUUAAUUUCUUCAUAAAAAUGCACUAUAUAGUUAUAUACAACUAUAAAAUGUGGGUUUAUGUAAUAGUUAAUCGCUGUUUAAUAACCCAUUUGUGUGUACUUAAUAUUAAUUUUUUUUUUUUUUUUUCUGUAGAUAAUAUUGUGAGUUGUACAUUUAUAAUCUCCUUUUUUUUAAGUUAUAGGUGUAAAUUUAAUCUAUUUAUUACAUGUCCAAAAAGCUGAAAUCCACAAAAUAUUUCAAUGAUGCUUUUUAUAUAUCGUUACCAAAUAAAAUAUUUUUCUCUGAUGGGUUUCGGUUUUAUGGACCUUUUCUAGCAAAUCUGUAUAUAUGCAACAUAAUGUUUGCAUAGAGAAAUCAACUCCAAAAAAUAUAAAGCUUUAUAACUUUGUAAGAUUUAUGUGUAUAAAGUAUACAUAUAUACGUUGAGAAUUAUUUAAUUGCGACUGUUUUUACAUAAAAUUCCUGUACAUAUGGCUAUUUUUCUACAUGUAUAUUAUACAAAUAAUAAUUUAAAUGGUAAAUUAUUAAUGUGUCAUAAAAGUUAUAAUUUUAAAUAUCCGCUAAAUAUCCCUCAAUUCUACCCUUUUCCCCUAAAAAUAUUCGACGAAUAAUGGACGAUGCAUUACUCGAGUAUUGGCAUAGGAUUGGCUACUUAAGUUCAGUGGGCAACCAGCACGUGGCACUGUACCAUCAGCUUACGCUAAAAGACCUGAACCCUAUCCAAGGAAGUUUUAAAUUUAUAUGGCUUACUUGAUUAGCUAACAUUUUUAUUACAUAAUAA